UACGUAGGGACCAAGCGUUGUUCGGAUUUACUGGGCGUAAAGGGCGCGUAGGCGGCAUUAUAAGUCACUUGUGAAAUCUCCGGGCUUAACUCGGAGCGGCCAAGUGAUACUGUAAAGCUAGAGUGCAGAAAGGGCAAUCGGAAUUCUUGGUGUAGCGGUGAAAUGCGCAGAUAUCAGGAGGAACACCCAUUGCGAAGGCAGCUCGCUACACUAUCAUUGACACUGAGGCACGAAAGCGUGGGGAUCAAACAGG
rnacentral:rRNA from 1 species